rnacentral:rRNA from 1 species
UACCAAGAAAUCGAGUCAUAUAGAUGUAUGGUGAAAAGACAGUUAGGUGUCAGAAAAGGGGGUUAUUUAAUGUAGUGUAUAGGGGUAAAAUCUGAGUAUAGUUUUUAUAAAUCUAAGAUAGCUUAUUAGGCUGAGUCUGUGAAAUCCUUGAGGGAAACUGGGAUUAGGUACCCUAUUAUUCUUGGAUGUAAAUGAAAGUAAUUUACCGGGGUACUAUGAAUUUGUAGGUUUAAAACCCAAAGGACUUGGCGGUGUUUUAGACCAUUUAGGGGAACCUGUCUCGUAAUCGACAAUCCACGUUGCACCUGACCUUUUUUUGUUUUCAGCUUGUAUACCGUUGUCGUCAGGUAACUUUUUAGAAUAUAAAAGUUGGCUAAAUAAAUAAAGUAGUUUAAUACGUCAAAUCAAGGUGCAGCUAAUGGAAAGGGGAGGAUGGGUUACAGUUAUAUAUUUAUAAUAACGGACAGCUAUGUGUAAGUGUAGGCUGUGAAGGAGGACUUAAAAGUAAAUUGAGAUAUGAGAAUAAUUUGAAUGAGGCUCUGAGACGUGU